rnacentral:lncRNA from 1 species
UUUUAUUUAUCCAACAUCUUUGUUCAUGCUUGUAAGUAAUCUCUUGGUAAUAAAGAAAGAGAGAAAGGGAGAGAAUGAGUGGGAUGAGAAUCAACCGCAUGGUCGGUUAUGUACAAGAGGAAAAGGAGAGUGGGUUGGACAUUUGAUAUACACCACACUUAAUAUCUAUCUCAUUUUUUCUUUCAUCUCUUUUAUUCUUCCAAGUUACAAAGAACUAAAUUAAGAGAGAGAGGGAGAGGAGUGGUCGGCAGCCACAAUGAGAAGAGGGAGGGGAGUUUUUUUUUGGUGAUACAUCAAAGCUCCAUAAUCAACUAAGAAGAAGAAGNN